rnacentral:rRNA from 1 species
CCUACGGGGGGCAGCAGUGAGGAAUAUUGGUCAAUGGGCGAGAGCCUGAACCAGCCAAGUCGCGUGAGGGAGUACUGCCCUAUGGGUUGUAAACCUCUUUUGUCGGGGAACAAAGGCGGGGACUAGUCCCCGGAUGAGGGUACCUGAAGAAAAAGCAUCGGCUAACUCCGUGCCAGCAGCCGCGGUAAUACGGAGGAUGCGAGCGUUAUCCGGAUUUAUUGGGUUUAAAGGGUGCGCAGGCGGCCUGUUAAGUCAGCGGUAAAAGCCCGGGGCUCAACCCCGGCGAGCCGUUGACACUGGCGGGCUGGAGUUGGAGAGAAGUACGCGGAAUGCGCGGUGUAGCGGUGAAAUGCUUAGAUAUCGCGCAGAACCCCGAUUGCGAAGGCAGCGUACCGGCUCCACACUGACGCUGAGGCACGAAAGCGUGGGUAUCGAACAGGAUUAGAUACCCUUGUAGUC